rnacentral:tRNA from 1 species
GGGCCUAUAGUUUAAUGGUAGAAUGGUGCAUUCGCAUUGCGCCGAUGGCAGUUCGAUUCUGCCUGGGUCCA